AAUCUUCCACAAUGGACGAAAGUCUGAUGGAGCAACGCCGCGUGAGCGAAGAAGGUUUUCUGAUCGUAAAGCUCUGUUGCGAGGGAAGAACAAGUACGGGAGUAACUGCCCGUACAUUGACGGUACCUCGUCAGAAAGCCACGGCUAACUACGUGCCAGCAGCCGCGGUAAUACGUAGGUGUCAAGCGUUGUCCGAAAUUAUUGGGCGUAAAGGGGGCGCAGGCGGUCCUUUAAGUCUGAUGUGAAAGCCCACGGCUCAACCGUGGAGGGUCAUUGGAAACUGGAGGACUUGAGUACAGAAGAGGAAAGCGGAAUUCCACGGGUAGCGGUGAAAUGCGUAGAGAUGUGGAGGAACACCAGUGGCGAAGGCGGCUUUCUGGUCUGUAACUGACGCUGAGGCGCGAAAGCGUGGGGAGCAAACA
rnacentral:rRNA from 1 species